UUCCGGAUUGCGGCCCUAGGCUCCCAGCAGAUUCCCAUUUCCCAGUCUCUGAGCUCUUCCCCAAACACCCCGCAGCUCACCGUUUCGCAGCAUCGAAAUGGGCUGCAAGCGGGACAUAUGUCUUGGAAAGCGGGCGGCGAGUGGGAGAGACGACGGAGGCGCCUCAGUACCCGCGACGGUCUCGGCCCUACGCCCUCAAGCACCCCGACUUUAUGGAAUCUUCCAGGUACUGACCUGCAGGGAUUCGGGACAAUUUCCUUCUCCUCUUCCUUUUUCCCUCCGCCGCAGGCCGGCCCGCCCUCAGGGCAGUGGGGAGCUGGUACUCAGACGGGAACAACGACCAGGACAAGAAGGACUUCUGCACACGUCAGCUCUUGGCUCCUGGGACAGCAGCCUCUCCCUCCACCUCCCCUCCCCCGAGCUAUGA
rnacentral:lncRNA from 1 species